UACGGGAGGGGGCAAGCGUUGUUCGGAUUUACUGGGCGUAAAGGGCGCGUAGGCGGCCACCGCAAGUCAGUUGUGAAAUCUCUGGGCUUAACCCAGAAAGGUCAACUGAUACUGCGGGGCUAGAGUGCAGAAGGGGCAACUGGAAUUCUCGGUGUAGCGGUGAAAUGCGUAGAGUAUCGAGAGGAACACCUGCGGCGAAGGCGGGUUGCUGGGCUGACACUGACGCUGAGCGCGAAAGCUAGGGGAGCGAACGGG
rnacentral:rRNA from 1 species